GCUCCAAUAGCGUAUACUAAAGUUGUUGCAGUUAAAAAGCUCGUAGUUGGAUUUCUGGUCGUGGUAAUCGGUCCGCCUUAACGGGGUGUGUACCAGAUUCCUGCGUCCAUCCUCGAGGAGAACGUAUCUGGCAUUAAGUUGUCGGGUAUGAUAUCCUCGUCAUUUACUGUGAGCAAAAUAGAGUGUUCAAAGCAGGCUUA
rnacentral:rRNA from 1 species